AACGAACGCUGGCGGCAUGCCUAACACAUGCAAGUCGAACGAGAUCUUCGGGUCUAGUGGCGCACGGGUGCGUAACGCGUGGGAAUCUGCCCUUUGGUUCGGAAUAACAGUUGGAAACGACUGCUAAUACCGGAUGAUGACGAAAGUCCAAAGAUUUAUCGCCAGAGGAUGAGCCCGCGUAGGAUUAGCUAGUUGGUGUGGUAAAGGCGCGCCAAGGCGACGAUCCUUAGCUGGUCUGAGAGGAUGAUCAGCCACACUGGGACUGAGACACGGCCCAUACUCCUACGGGAGGCAGAAGUGGGGAAUAUUGGACAAUGGGCGAAAGCCUGAUCCAGCAAUGCCGCGUGAGUGAUGAAGGCCUUAGGGUUGUAAAGCUCUUUUACCCGGGAUGAUAAUGACAGUACCGGGAGAAUAAGCUCCGGCUAACUCCGUGCCAGCCGCCGCCGUAA
rnacentral:rRNA from 1 species